UACGUAGGUGGCAAGCGUUUGUCCGGAUUUAUUGGGUUUAAAGGGUGCGUAGGCGGCUUUGUAAGUCAGUGGUGAAAUAUGGCAGCUCAACUGUCAGGGUGCCAUUGAUACUGCGGAGCUUGAGUACAGAUGAGGUAGGCGGAAUUGACGGUGUAGCGGUGAAAUGCUUAGAUAUCGUCAAGAACACCGAUAGCGAAGGCAGCUUACUGGGCUGUAACUGACGCUGAGGCACGAAAGUGUGGGGAUCAAACAGG
rnacentral:rRNA from 1 species